rnacentral:lncRNA from 1 species
AAAAAAAUCUGCUUUUCCCACUUUUAGUUAUCUUUUUUCACUAAUUGUUUUCAUUUUAUUUUAUAAGAAGUCCAAAAGUACAUGUAAUGUGGGUAACAUCUUAUAAACAGAAGUUCAAAGAUCACAAUUGAUCUUACAAUCGUUUCUAAGCCAAAAUGGUGAGUCUUAUUUUGAGUUUGAACUUCCUUUUCAUUUCCUCUAUUAAUGUAUUGUUCAAUUCUUGGAGUUUUGUUCUUAAAAUUUCUUUAUUAAGAACUUGUCCUUUUUUCUUUUUUUUUUAACUUUUACAAAUAUAUAUUCAGUUUUGAUAUGAAGUUGUUGGAAAAUAUGGGUACUACAAACAGAGGUUAGAGGCUAUUUGAAGGAAUUGCUUUUUCGAUCGUAUGAAGGGAUUGUUGUACACAAGCGUAAAUAAGAUUAGAUUUGUUGUGCACAUGAAAUAUAUUUUUUUAUAUCAAAUUGAAGAUCACAUAGGUAAAAUAAUUUCAUAGUAUGUAUUGAAAUUCUUAUGAACAUUUUAUUUCUCCAAAUAAAUAAUUUUUUUGUGUACAAAAAAUGUGAUGAACAUACCUGUUGAUAUCUAUAUUUUUUUGUUUAACGGUGAUGAUUUAAUUUUGAUGUCGAGCAGGGUUGUUGUAUACGGAUACUGUGAAGUUCAUGAUUAUUAUGAUCACAUUCUUUCUUUCAUUUUGAAUCUCUAGGUAAUUGUUAUUUUAAUUUUAAGACUGUCUUUCUCUUUUUCUUUUUUUUUUUCAUUUCUAUUUCAUUUUUAUUUAUUUUUUUGUUGAAAACGUUUGAUUUUUAUACCAUGGAAUUACUUAUUUUAUUUUUUAUUCAUAUUUGUCUUUUUCCAUUUAUCAGGCACGUUUCUUUUAAAUUUUCAACUCUUUAAAUAUAGGUAGUAUGAAUACUUUUUGCAAUAAUAAAUAAAUAUUAUUCAAAGUGAAAAACUCCAAAUAUGAAAAGUUAAAUUAUCAUUUUACCCCUAAGCUAAAUUAAACAUUUAAUUAAUUAAAUAUUAAAUAAUAAUAUUUUAAUUAUUUUUUGAAUGGUAAGUUCUUUAUUAGAAAGGUUAUGUAGAAGAACAAGAGUCAAUUAUGAUUUCUAGAAUUUUAAGAGUCAUCUGUAAUUGGUAAAAUAGUUAAAAUUGAAUAAUUGUUCUUAAAUAAGUACAUGAAUCAAGGUUUUCCCCCUUUUAAAUCUUAAAUUAAAGAAUAUGAAGAGUUGCAGCUAAAUCAAUAUAUACCAUUACCAAAUACGAAUUUGUCAUCUUGGAUUCUUCCACUAGCAGAUCUACGUACUCCUAUGCUAAAGUUCCUUCUUUUCUUCUCUUUUUCCAUCUUCUAUUGUUUGUUAGUAAGAUUUUGAUAAUUAAUAUAUUUUUUCAAAUUAGUCUAUUUAUGAUCUGAGAUUAACAAUAGAGUGUAUAGCAAGUUUAACAUCUUCACUUUAUUUAGAAACACCGAAAAUAAUUUUGAGGAAGAUGAAUUCAUAAGGUUAGAAAUAUCAAGUAUUACUUCUACAUUGUCCUACAAUGAUUAAGAUUGAUUACCUUACAUUAAAUGAGUCAAAUUCAUUCGAUUCGACAAUUUGUGCUUUUUUAUAAAUUAUAUUUGGAAGGUUUGAUUCAUUGUUUUAAAGUUAUGCACAAGAACGAUCUAAUAUUGUAAUGUUAUAAUUUUACCCGUGUUUUUUAAAGGAAGAAAAUAGUAAGAUGGAUUCACUAAGGUUAAGUUGGUACAACAUUUUAAAAUAAUAUUUAUUUAACUUUAUAAGAGUUUUUACUUAUUGACGUAUGGGGUACACGCGUGUUGCGCGUGCCCAAAGACUAGUUAUUAUAUAUAUAACUAACUAAAUAAAAGUGCUCUCUCAAACAGUUUAAACAUUCAGAUAAGAUGAUCACAGAGUUCAAUGAUAACGAGUUAUUAUAUUCACCUUCAUCUGCUCAGGAUCGCGACUGAUCAGGAAAGAGUCUGCCCCCAAACGCUCAAUUGAUUUUUGCUUCUUAUUACCAGAUGUACUAAUGACAGUCACUUUGGUUCUGAAUGCCUUAGCGAACUUAACAGCCAUAUGUCCUUGCCCUCCAAGACCAAUGUGCAUUCUAGGCUUUUCGAGUCCAAAAUAUUCCAAAGGACUAUAAGUAGUAAUUCCAGCACAUAACAGCGGAGCAACGUCCAUCGACAAGUUUUCAGGCCAAUGUACUACAAAAUGCUCAUGUGAUACCAUCAUGUCGGAGUAACCUCCAAACGUGAGGGUUCCGUCUAAGCUAUAGCCGUUGUAUGUAGGAAUCUGAUGAGGACAGUAAUUCUCGAGAUCAACGCUACAAUUCUCACAUUUUCUACAUGAUCCUACCAUACAUCCAACACCUACUUUGUCUCCAACCUUAAAUUUCUCCACCUUGCUUCCAACCUCAAUUACAACACCAACAACCUCAUGCCUAGACUAAUAUUUCAAAAUUUUUAAUUCUUGAUCUUAAAACAAAUAAAAAAUAACCAAAAUUUAAUAGUUUGCUUUUAACCCAAACAAUGCACAUCUCUUUGCUUGAAUAUUGAGUAGCCUUUGUUAGAAAUUGUUUUACUCUCAAUGGAAGAAUUUAAUUUCCAUGAAUUUGAAUUAAGUCAUGCCCCAAUGUACAUACGUGCAGGAUAUCGAGUAGAUUAAUUCGCAAUAAUUCGAUCCAACGAAGAUAUUUUCUAAGGUAUAGUCUUUCUUUGCAGCUUCAUCCACUUGUAUUUUGAGCAGUCCCAUUGUGUUCAUAUUACUGUGGACCCCACAACAAUAAUUCAAUUCAAUAUGAGUAGACCCCAUGUUCUAAAUUUUGCAAGUGUAGAGCUCAAAUAUUCUACUGAUAUAUAGAUAAG